ACUUACAUUACUCUAUUAACUAUCAUUCAUCAACUUUUUCAAUUAUCUACUACAAAAUUAAAUUAUUAAAUUUAAUAGAUUAUAUUUCUACUUUAAUUGACAAAAAUUAUUCAAUUUAAAAAAACACAGAAGUCAAGACGCUAAUAAAAACAGUUUCAUUUAGAGGGGCUAUUUCAUAGUUGCGUAUAGUUGAGGGUGUCGUCAUAUAUUGUAAGGACUGAGAUUUUGAUAGUGUAGUUGAACUCUCUGUUGAUGAUAUUUUUGUGUGUAAUUUAAUUACAUAAGUACUCGUUAAGUUUCGGAAGAAAACGAGUUAGAACGGAGAAGUUACGCGAUCUUUAGUAUUCACUUAAGUGAAUAGUAACUCCAGUUUUCCGGAGUAGCCGCGGAGUAGAGCUGGCUUCUGGUGCG
rnacentral:lncRNA from 1 species